UAGGGAAUCUUCGGCAAUGGGGGCAACCCUGACCGAGCAACGCCGCGUGAGUGAAGAAGGUUUCGGAUCGUAAAGCUCUGUUGUAAGAGAAGAACGUGUGUGAGAGUGAAAAGUUCACACAGUGACGGUAACUUACCAGAAAGGGACGGCUAACUACGUGCCAGCAGCCGCGGUAAUACGUAGGUCCCGAGCGUUGUCCGGAUUUAUUGGGCGUAAAGCGAGCGCAGGCGGUUUAAUAAGUCUGAAGUUAAAGGCAGUGGCUUAACCAUUGUUCGCUUUGGAAACUGUUAAACUUGAGUGCAGAAGGGGAGAGUGGAAUUCCAUGUGUAGCGGUGAAAUGCGUAGAUAUAUGGAGGAACACCGGUGGCGAAAGCGGCUCUCUGGUCUGUAACUGACGCUGAGGCUCGAAAGCGUGGGGAGCAAACAGG
rnacentral:rRNA from 1 species